AAACUGGGAUUAGAUACCCUAUUAUUCUAAGCUGUAAAUGCUUCUGCUUUGGGGCUAUUAGUAACCAGAUUAGUAUAGCCAAAGGCUGAAAAUCAAAUUACUUGGCUGUUUGAGUUAAUCUGUUAGAGGAGUGUGUACCUUAAUACGAUAAUCCACGUAUAAUCUUAUCUGUUUUUGAUGGUUCAGGGGCUGCAUGGCCGUUGUGAAAACUGAUACUUUAGUUUUCUUUGUCUUUAGAAGCUAACAUCAGGUAUUAUGGCCCCUAUAAAUAGAGGUAGUAUGCACUACAUUAUUAAACCCAAUAUUAUAAUUAAUAUCGGUUUUGGGUGUGAAAUAACCCAAUUAAGGUGAAUUUAAUAGUAAUUGAUGAGUAGAGAGCCUCAAUGAAUGGAUAAUCUCAUAAGCACAAAUUGCCCGUCACCUUACUCCUUUAAAUUGACUUGUUAUCAGUAAUUUGUUAAUUGUAAAGAGAGUAAGUAAGUCGUAACAUAGUGAGGGGAGGGGAACCUCUCCUUGUAA
rnacentral:rRNA from 1 species